CAACAAAUGCUCCUCCGUACUUUUUGCAGUCUGCAUGAUUUCACGUCUAUUACCCAACAGUUUGUUUAUCUGGAAGCAUGGAGAGCACGAGCACCUGGGUGUGUUCAUUUCGUGUAAAUAAGAAGAGGCACAGAUGGGAGGUACAUUGGCAUCUCACACAUGCUGCCUGAGUUGGCAGCGAUAUCUGCCGAAGCAUCAAGUUGCUUGUCUUUGAUAGGUCAGCGAUUUCUCGUCCUCCCCUUGUCUCUGUUAGGGGGAUAUUCUGUACUGGGAUGAAGGCGCUGAAACAAUAAACAAAUUUGAACCUGGAACAAGUAUCUGGCUUAUUCCCCAGAUUUUGCAGACAGUUUUAUUAAUGUUUGUUUAUUAUCCUAACUAAAUUUUUGUGGCUGAAGCAGGAUGAGUGCAGUUCUCGUCCCAGCAGAUAAGUGGUGGAGCAUUUUGUAAUAAAUAUUUGUACACAAGUUUUUCUCUGUUCUAGUAGCUCAGAAUUUGUUGCUUGCAUCACUGUAUCACAGAGUUCCACAGCAAUACAAUAAUGUAAGGUGUGUAUGAGUGUAUCACAGAGUUCCACAGCAAUACAAUAAUGUAAGGUGUGUAUGAGUGUAUCACAGAGUUCCACAGCAAUACAAUAAUGUAAGGUGUGUAUGAGUGUAUCACAGAGCUCCACAGCAAUACAAUAAUGUAAGGUGUGUAUGAGUGUAUCACAGAGCUCCACAGCAAUACAAUAAUGUAAGGUGUGUAUGAGUGUAUCACAGAGCUCCACAGCAAUACAAUAAUGUAAGGUGUGUAUGAGUGUAUCACAGAGCCCCACAGAAAUACAAUAAUGUAAGGUGUGUAUGAGUGUAUCACAGAGCUCCACAGCAAUACAAUAAUGUAAGGUGUGUAUGAGUGUAUCACAGAGCUCCACAGGUAAGGUGUGUAUGAGUGUAUCACAGAGCUCCACAGGUAAGGUGUGUAUGAGUGUAUCACAGAGCCCCACAGAAAUACAAUAAUAUAAGGUGUGUAUGAGUGUAUCGCAGGGCCCCACAGAAAUACAAUAAUGUAAGUUGUGUAUGCAUGUAUCACAGAGCUCUACAGCAAUACAAUAAGGUAAGGUGUGUAUGAGUGUAUCACAGAGCUCCACAGCAAUACAAUAA